CGAUGCUUUACACAUGCAAGUCGAACGGCAGCACGGGUGCUUGCACUUGGUGGCGAGUGGCGACGGGUGAGUAAUGCAUCGGAACGUGUCCUGAAGUGGGGGAUAACGCAUCGAAAGAUGUGCUAAUACCGCAUAUUCUCUGAGGGGGAAAGCAGGGGACCGUAAGGCCUUGCGCGAUUAGAGCGGCCGAUACCUGAUUAGCUAGUUGGUGAGGUAAAGGCUCACCAAGGCAACGAUCAGUAGCUGGUCUGAGAGGACGAUCAGCCACACUGGGACUGAGACACGGCCCAGACUCCUACGGGAGGCAGCAGUGGGGAAUAUUGCACAAUGGGCGCAAGCCUGAUGCAGCAACGCCGCGUGAGGGAUGAAGGCCUUCGGGUUGUAAAGCUCUUUUGUCAGGGAAGAAACAGCAGCUCUAACACAGUCUGCGAAUGACGGUACCUGAAGAAUAAGCACCGGCUAACUACGUG
rnacentral:rRNA from 1 species